rnacentral:rRNA from 1 species
GAUGAACGCUGGCGGCGUGCCUAAUACAUGCAAGUAGAACGCUGAAGGAAGGAGCUUGCUCUUUCCGGAUGAGUUGCGAACGGGUGAGUAACGCGUAGGUAACCUGCCUGGUAGCGGGGGAUAACCAUUGGAAACGAUAGCUAAUACCGCAUAACAGUAGAUGUUGCAUGACAACUAUUUGAAAGGGGCAAUUGCUCCACUACCAGAUGGACCUGCGUUGUAUUAGCUAGUUGGUGAGGUAACGGCUCACCAAGGCGAGGAUACAUAGCCGCCCUGAGAGGGUGAUCAGCCACACUGGGAGUGAGACACGCCCCAGACUCCUAGAGGAGGCGGCAGUAGGGAAUCUGCGGCAAUGGACGGAAGUCUGACCGAGCAACGCCGCGUGAGUGAAGAAGGUUUUCGGAUCGUAGAGCUCUGUUGUAAGAGAAGAACGAGUGUGAGAGUGGAAAGUUCACACUGUGACGGUAUCUGACCAGAAAGGGACGGCUAACUACGUG